CGGCGGCGGCGCGUUAGCUCCCACCCGUUGGCAGCCGCCUCAGCUGCCGCUUCUCCGGGGCCGCGCACGCGCCGCCGCCGCCGCCCCCGGCCCGUGCUCGCACCGCGCCUGCCUCGCGCCUACCUUGGCCGGCGCUUGCCCGCUGCCGCCUGCCCGGCCUGCUCGGCGCCUUCUCGGCCUCGGCUCGGCGCCCGGAGCAUGCAGCAGCAGCCUGGGUGGCGGCGGCGGCCGUGAAGUAAGGGCCGUGCGCCCGGGCGGGCGGCGCGGGAGGGCGGCGGCGUCUUUGUUGCGGCCGGGCCGCCGCGGCCUUUGUCUGCAGAUGGUGGACGCGGGCGGUCGCUCUGCCGCCGAAGGCUGGAGGAGGAUGGAGGCACCCCCGGAGGGCGCGGAC
rnacentral:lncRNA from 1 species